AACCAUAGAAACCUGCGGAGUACCUGCGGAAGGAUCAUUACACAAUACAAUAUGAAGGCUGUCCGCAGCUGGAGUAUUUUAUUACCCUUGUCUUUUGCGCACUUGUUGUUUCCUGGGCGGGUUCGCUCGCCACCAGGACCACCAAAUAAACCUUUUUUAUGCAGUUGCAAUCAGCGUCAGUACAAACAAUGUAAAUCAUUUACAACUUUCAACAACGGAUCUCAGAUCGGAAGAGCACAC
rnacentral:misc_RNA from 1 species